CCCAAUAGGAGCCCUUGACCUUCAGACUGGGGACUAUCAAUGGAGACACGGUGCUCUUCGUCUGACUAUGGGACUUCAGCCACCAGCCCCGAGAGCAGGAGGGUCUGGGUAUGAUUGGAAAAGCAUUGCUUUCUCCAUCUGCCCUGUGAGCCAGACAGACCCCUUCAUUUCCUUCUGCUCACAGCUCUGCGUUCUCCAAAUCAUCUACUCCUCAGCUGGCCAGAUGGAUCAGCCGUGACGCGGGGCCUCCCCCGGGUUCCAUGAAGAGCUGGGCUGUUUGAACGGGGCCUGAGACUGUUGACUGCUUCCUGAUGACUCAGUGUCCAUACGGGGAAUUUGUGGUGAGCAGUUAGGAGCUUGGGAGACUGCUGACCAUGGGGAUUAGCCAGUCUACCCACCUUCCCUGAACAUCAGCGCCCCAGAUAACAUUUGGGAAAGAUCUAGGUGCCCUUGGCCAGAGAGAGUGCUGACAGUGGCCACAGGAGGCUGUGUCUCCAUCAGAUUGGAAGUCAGUGAGUCCCCGGCAUGAGCCUUGUGUAGCCUGGAAAGGACUGGCCGGGGCCCCCUCGGAGUCUGAGCGGAGGACGGGUCCUCUGGUUUGGCCCACGUCACUUGGCAAGCACAUCAGAAGGAGGCUGACCUGGUCUUCAGGCCCACACACUGGGCGAGAUCUUGCACAACAGGGAAGGGGGACUGUGAGACCUGGACCGUGUCCACCUGCCCACUCAGGCCUUCCUGCCUCCCUCCCUCCCACCGCACAGAGCUUUGCUCAGUUUACCCAACGUGCCAGCCACAUGUCCAUCUCGAGGCAUUUCUUCUCUAAUUCUCGGAAGAACCUUCCUCCCCGCCGUUCACUUCUCCAGGCCCCUUUCAUCCUUUUUAACUCAAAGAGCCACCCGAGAGGGGCUUUCUCCAUCCCCCAACUGAAAGUGUAUUUCCCCCCUAUUUGGUUAUUCUCUAUCUUCACGUCUUUUAUGUUUCUUUCCAAGUUGUUGGCCAUAGAAAGUGUCAUUUCUUAUCUACUGCUUGCUUAUCUGUUUUCUUCUUGGUCUUCCCUGCUGGAUUGUAAGCUAGCCAAGGUUCAGGACUGUGUGGAUCUUGCUCACCAUCAGAUACCAGCAACCAGGGCAGUGCCUGGCAUCUGGCAGGGCUAGGGGCUCAGUAACUAUUUGCUGAGGGAGGGUGGGAGCUGAGCCAUUGCAGCCGUCUCUAAACCAGAGCCAUACCCUGCAUAUUCUCCCAUGGCCUGCUUUACUCACGCAAUAUUGUUUCCAGGAUUGCUGGAGACGCGGCAGUACUUUUUAUUGCUGCAUGGUAUUCCAUUGAAGAACUGUCUUACCAUUUAUGAACUGUAUUGUUCUUGGGGUUUCAGGCAUUUCUAAAUUUUGUUCCACAAACAACACUGGGGUG